rnacentral:tRNA from 1 species
GAUCGGUUAGCUCAGUGGUUAGCGCCGGCGUAUAUUGCAGGAAAUCUGUGGUUCAAUUCCGCACCCGAUCG